CUCAGGUAUCGCCGCUUCCUCCCGGCGCUCCUGAGGCGAGAAGUAAAGUGAGGGAGGAGAGGGGCCAAAAAUGUGGUGACCCUCCGUUAAGGGUGAGGGAACACCCGAGGUUGGUAAAUGCUCGGGAGUCAGAGGGGCCGCGAGCGGUCAAAGUUUUAUCAGUAAGCUACACAUUUGGCAUGGAAAUUGGUACGCUGGUCCAUGACCUACUAUGAGUACAGUGGGUUCUGGAUAAAGCAGUAGCCAGUGGGUUUUGGAUGAAGGGAUAGGGGAAAAGGGAAGAGAGAGAAAGAGAUUAAUUAAAGAGGAAGAAAAAGAGAGAUACAGAGAAAGAGAGGAAAAAAGAGAGAUCGCCGGUUCUGGUUCCAGCCUCAGUCCAGCUGAGGGAAUGUCAGUCCUGGUUCCAAGGAGUCGAUCCCAGCUGUGACCACCCAAUCCAAGGUCCACGUGGGCUCAGUCACCCCCAAGGGCAACGCCUGUCCCUGAGGGCCACCCCCCUCCACUCCCCACACCCCAGGCACAAGGAAAACUUUGUAAAGGAACAGGACAUUUAAAGGAGGACACCGAAGUCAAGGCCGGGAGGGCCCAGAGGCAUUAUCUGUCCUCGUCCUUCAGUGGGAACACACGGGUUGUUCAACAAGUGCUUCUCCCCCCGGCACCCAGGCUCAGCACAAAUGUGUGUCCUACCCCCUGAGGUUCUUCCAAAGGGGAGCCAGGUACAAAUGUUCUGACUGCUGAUGGACACGGAUAAGAAUUGGUGCUUAUGGAGUGACAGAUCCAGGAUGAUUCCCAAGACAGCUGUUUGCAGGUAAUUACGCAGUUCUACCUGUUCUGUACUUUGCAAAGUGCAAGUUCUGGGGACUAAUAACUUUCUGUUUGCAGUAAUCAAGUGGGAAAGAUGUGAGACAAAAGCCACUGAGGUGCUAUAGUGAGACUGGAUCAGCCUCUGUAGGGGUGUAUGAGAUCCUUGGGGUCAUCAAGGAGAAACCUUGCAGAGAAAUGUCACGUAGGGAAUUGCACAUGGAGAACACUGUGGAAAAGUCCAAGAGCAUUGAAAUGGCACUUGAAUCAUAAUGCCAAAAGUGAUUGAUGAAAGACCCCAAAAAGUAUGAGGACAGGGGAAAAAAAUAAUUCCAAUCAAAACCAGGAUAUAUGUCUCAGAGGAGAACAAAUAUCUCCAUUGAGCCACGAAAGAUUGACUCUUUGCUGUAAACUAAGAAAGAAAACAGGUUUUUACUCUCAGUAUCCGACAUUUCCUCUUUUCCACCUUGUUUUAAUCUCUGCAAAAAUAGAUGACAUGUACCAAAAGUCAUCCCAAGCAGUAGACAUUUCUAAAUCUGCCCAACCAGCUCUUUGGCUGUCUCCAUAGCAAUGAGGCAGUGCAUCCUGCUGCUCUCCCUUCUGUGAGCUCCUUUCCCAAGUUUGACAUGGACUGACAACGUUGUGCCUUUGUAGCUCCUCUGCCAAAAACCUCCCUUUUCUCUGCUCAAGGCCAGUCCCAUCUGUUCCUUCCUGCUUCUCCCCAGUUUUAGAAACACCUGGCUAGAGGAGGAAUCCAUCCAAUGCUUCUCUGCUGCAAUGAUUCAAGCCAAGGAGGGACUCCUGCUGGGUGUACAAGUGGAGGGACUGGAGAGGGCAGUGCUUUCCUGUUUGGGUAGAACUUUUGGAUGAUGGUAAGGGAGAACACUGCAGGGGCCAGGAGCAUAAACAAAGCAGAAGGAAGGAAAAUCCAGAAUUCUGUCUAGUGUCCCAAAAGAAUUGCCCUGAAACUUGGCACCGCUGGCCAUAGCAACAAAUAGAGCAGUAAAGAAUGUACAGACUUGGUACAAUGCAGUGCUUAUUGAAGGAGAUGACAAGCGUGAAGGAACACUUCCAAACCUCUGAAUUCAGAUAGAUCUGUGUCACAGCUGAGUUUCUGGCAGCUCUCAACAGCAUUUCGCUGAAAGUGGAGAAAAUAGAGGUUACAAAGCUGAAAGAGGCAUUUUUGCUAUCAGCUGAGGACUGGCAGAAAUGGGAGGUUCUGAUGGAGCUACACCGGGAGGUGAAGCAAUCUGCAGGGUUUGCUGCAGUUGAUCUGCCUUGGGCUGAGUUGAUGUGGUUACAAAAACAUCUUUGUGCUCAGCACUAUUCCGUUGUUGGCCUAGUGCCUUGAGGCUUACAUGCUUUGGAAAUAUGGAUGAGGAGAUGAAAACUUGAGCUUGUUUAAAGGAUUUAAAUCUGAAGAUGGCAGGCCCAGGAGAGGGAUUCUGAGUUCAGGCAUGUAGGUCAUGCAAGAGAGGUCUUGUCUUCACCAGCAAGUUAAUGUGAAAUAUAGUAAAAGUGUUCCUGUUAGUUCAACCCUUGCCCACACAAAAAAAUCCCUCACUGCAAAAAGUGGCUGCAGAAACAUAAAUUGACAAAGCAACAAGAGAACAAGGUAAACCUUGAGUGAAUUCACUUUACCAUUCCUUUACCACUGCUGUUUCUCUACAGUAGGGACCCACACUAAAGACCACCAUCAAAACAUCCAGCAGUGCUGACUCCCCGCAGUUUUUCCACUUGUGCUUUCCUUAGUGGCUUCUAACUCUGCUUUAUAUUUGUGAGCUUAUUUCCCCAGCUGCAAAAGGUUUCCAGUGCCCUCAGUACCAAUCACCCAUCUUCAGCACAGAAGUCUUCAGUUUAUUAUUCUGCAACUGUGUCUAGCAAGACCUCAGUUUCCUGUUGCCUGCUGAUCAGACACCAAGUUAUGGAAGAAUCUCUGGCAUGAUGCUACUGUAGUCUAUGAUUUUCAGAGGAAGGAUCCAGGCUGAAAGCUUUCUGGUGACAUUCCAAGUAAGCUGUCAUGAGAAGAGAAUCCAACACCCAAGACCUCAGUGCUUAGGGAAAAUCAGAGGGUUUCAUCUACUCAGAAGAAAAGAGUAGAACUAUAAAUGCUAACUCAGUAAGUCCCCAGGAAUGAGCAUGUGCCAUGCUGAGACUGAAUGCAUCAUUAGCAAUUCCCUGGGGCCGGAUGUCUAUUUCAGACUGCACAGUGUAACAGCUCCAGGGAACGUACAGCCAGAGGAUGCUGAUAAUUUCACAGUUUCUGCUUCCCUGUGAGGCAGAAAAUAGAAGUGCUCUGAAGCUCUUUCCCAGGAACACAGAAGUAACGUUUUCCAAAGCCAUCAAAAGGAGAGGAAGAUAGGUGUGUUCUCUGCAAUCUGGGAGAAAGGGAAACAGAAUAAUCUGCUGCUCUGGCUGCUAAAGGAGGCUUUUGGCUGAUCAGCAAGCUGUGUGGACUGAAGCUAUGGAACUGGUCCCUUGCAGAAAAGAUUUUGUGGAGGCAUAUGAGGUUGAGAUGGAUAUCUCAGAAGCACGUAGGGUCCACAGUGGGUUCGCACCACACUAGUGCCUCCCCUUGCAGCACAGAUUAAAAUGCUCCUAGUACAUCCACACUUUAUCACAGGCAACCCAUGGGAAAAACUUCCAGGACAGAUGACUCAAGGUAAUUUGGUAGUGUGACUGCAUCCUCAGAAAGAGCAGACAAAAAGGGAAAGGCAGACAGCCAGGCGGUCUCUAGCACACUGAGGUCAAAUUCCCCUUUCUGUCACUCUCGGCUAUGGGAAAGUUGAGGACGACAGAGAGGUACCAGACACACUCCCGUGUCUGCUGGCAGAGAUGGGCGAGGCCCCAGGCAGACUGAAACACAUGCUCCUGUGAGCACAACCAUGCAAUCUCUGCCAUCAGAAAGAUGAUGCCCGGGUUUCAGGGAUGCUCCUGAAUGUCUCAACUUCUCUGCAUAGUUCGGAUUGCACAGUAAAUGCCUCGGCUGCAUGAGAUGUGCUGUUGGCUCUGGGGAGGCAUUAUUUCAGGUUGGCUGCAGCUGGGAGUGUGUAGCAUGACUUCAGACCUCAUUAGAUGCACACUUGACAAGUUUUCUGCACUAACAUAAAGGGAAGAAAGGUUUUCUUAACCAAACAAGGCUUAUACAGUUGUCCUAUGUGUAUGAGGAAGGGCGUGUCUGUCUCUCUGCCCCAGCUGUCUUUUUUCUCCCAGUAACUUUUGAACUUCUUGGCCACUUUUAUACAAAUCAGAUGGAGAGAUGAAGGUUUAAGAAAUAUUCAGCUCCAAUGGCUUUUGUAAAAAAUUCAGCCUGGUUAGAGGACACAGUUUUAAUUAAUGCCCUGAAUGGAGGAAACUUUUUUUGGAAUAAGAAUUUAAGUUGGCAGCAAUGUCUAGUCCAGUCUCCUGCUGAAAGCACAGCCAGCUUCAAAGUCAGAGGCUGCUCAGGACCUCAUUUUGAAAACCUUUGAGGUGUCAGGAAUCUACUCUGGACCUCAGCUUCACAAAACAAAUAUACUGAGCGCAACACCUUUGGCUCUGCCGAUCAGAGAAUUCAUUUCCCCCUCUUUUAAAGGAGGAAUAGAAGUGGCAGCCCAUGGUAAAGCCUGUGACAAUCUCCACACCAGGCAGUCCAUAGGGCUCUGCUUAUGUUAAAUAUAUUUAACCAGCAGCUAGUUACUUUAUUUUGGCAUUCUUUGGUAGUUAAUGAUUCCAAGUACAAAGGUCAGAGACACAAGGCUUUGUGUAUCCCAUUGUUUAAUUUACCAGAAGCUACAAGGGAAGGAGUGCUUCUCUGUAUGAGUGGGAGCUACAAGCUACACAUCCAGCCUGACAAGCUAAUGAGAACAAGUCAUUCAUUAACAGGAGACUUGCUGCUAGGCAAACACACAGCUGGUAUGGGAGAAGAAUUUGGAUGUGAAAUGAGACAGUGUAGUUCGUUUUUUAUAAGACAUUUCCUAUUUCAGCAAGUUUACAGUCUAAAUAAAGACCACACAGAACACAUUAAGAGCCUGAUCAGAAGAAGAUUUGGGCUUAAUGUCUUUUCUGAAAAGUUUGGUAAUGAGCAGAGAGGCAGAAUUUGCAAAGAGAAUGGAAAUAUUUGCAUGUUUAACAGAAGGAACAAGUUUUAGAUUUAAGUGAGAUUUCAUUAUAAACGUAAAUGCUGCUCUCUUGAGUACCAGUUUAUUCUGUACACACACACACACAAAUGCAUUCACAGAAACAUCUUACAAAACUCUGGUGCUUUCUCCUGCUUCAGUUGUUACUAUUGCAUUUUUUUUUCUAGAGUUUCACACUAGUAAGCAUUUUUACAGGAUUAACAUUAAAGUUGGAAACUGCAAAGCAUGGCUAUUUAAUAACUGUUUGAGGAAGGAACACAGUGUCAUUUGAAAGAUAAAGUAAGCACUUACAGUUCUUGCAUAAUCAAAUAAAAAAGCCUGUCAAGGAAGAAUCUCUCCAGACUUUGUGGAAUGAAACAGUAACAGCAUUUUAGAACAAACUCUGACUUUCAAAGUGAUUUAAGUGUUUAGAAACAUUGCAUAGAGCAUGACACCAUCCAUGGCCAGGGCACAAGUGGUCCAGAGCAAGGCUGGAUCUCUACCAUCUGAAACAUGUAACACAGAGCAGCAAACCUGCAAGAAGCUGUAUCCUCAGGCUUCCUUAUGAGAUCAAAGGUUAUAUUCAGAAGUGUGUACAACUGAAAACAAUACUAGGAGUGCAGUCACUGUGGGAUUCAUUAUUGUAAUAAAGCAUCUUCUGAAGACACGGAUUUCAGCGUGACUUAGGAAAGGGAAGUGAAGGUGCUGGGGAAGAUGGAAGGGAAGGAGAUAUGAGGGGAGAAACAAGAAGCAAAGAACAUGGAGAAGAAGCACUGCUGAUUCCAGAGUCUAAUGAUUUUUUUUCCAGCCUAAAUGGCUCUAUGAUUCUAAUUUAAUCUUCUUUUAGCUUCACAUCUUGUUUUUAGUGUAUCUUUAUUUUGUUUUGGACUGUCACAGAGGUUAUGCUAAUCCAAACACAGCACAGCAGUCAUCAGAGAAAUCUAUGCUGGGACGAGGCUGCUCUCUGAGGCACUGGUGGAGGAACUGCAGCACAGCAUUGUGCUCUGAAGCAUUUGCUAUCACUUAACUAAAUGUCAGCUCUCUGGAUACAAACCUCUCAGCGAGAGGAAAGAGAAAACACAUGAAGAAAAGCUUCCAUCUGCAAAUUGAGAGACACCCCUCCUUACUGUCCAAAUUAGCUACUAAGAUUUUAAAUUAGGAAUCAUAAAAUUUAGGCUCCUAAACAUAGAUUAAGGCAACCCUGGAACUCUGGUGGCAAAACAUUCCUAUUGACCCACCUGCAGCUGAAUGCCUAAAAGCCUGAAUCAUCACCAGCGCUGUCGAGGGACCUCAUAUUACCUCAGCAAAUGUACUUUAUCAGUGAUCAUUGUGCAAGCUUAGUACUAAUUUGCAAUUCCCAGCAGAUGCAGAGACUUGUCAUCAUUUUUGUUUGGUAGAGGCAACAUUUUCCACAGAAAAAGGCAAACAAACAACUUUCUUAAUGUUCUUAUUAGCAUACUCUUCUACAGCCUUUGGUGCCUGGAACAGAUGCUUGGGAAGGGCGGUGCAGCUGUAAUACUUAGAAAAAUAUAUUGGACAAGAGAGAAAUUCCCGAAGAAGUCCUAUAAUCUCCUUAAUUCCAUCUCUCCCCAACUCUGGCUCCACUCUGCUGGAGGCUGUGCGAGGUUAUGUGUUAUACCCUGAUGGGUACAGCUCCUGCAAAACCUCAGUGCUGUUAUUGUGCUGCUGUUGACAGUUGACAGAUACAUGCACAGGCUACACAGUUCUGAUCCGUGAGGGUGCUUAGUUACCCAGCAUACCUAACCCCAAAACACAGGGCCAAAUAAAAGAAGAAUGGGGAUGCCUGAGAUGCUGUGGUGAGCUGGCUGUCUCUACACACUCAUCUUUUCCACUACAACACCGUGUGCCCAGUCCCUUUCCCCGCUGUGCAUGGAGCCCUUCCUUUGCUGGCUCUCCUGGCCAGCAUCAAUUUUUAGACUUAUGGCAGUGUCAGAAGAGUGAGGACAAUGCUGAAGCAGCAGAAAAGACAGAACAAAACGCUGCUUGCACAGAGGAGGAGGAUGAUUUGGGUGGUGGGAUGCAAUAUUUGUGGGAGUGUGUAUCUGUAGUUUUCUUCUUAUCUAUGGUGGACGAGAGAAGAGUUUUUGACAGAGGAAAUUUCAUCUGCCAAGGGCUGCAUGUGAACCCUUCUGUGCUGUUGGGCAAAAACUGUUACUUCCCCAGAAAGCUUUUAUCUUCAUAGGCUCUCACUGAACAGGCAUGAGAGUACCCCAUGCUAUCCUACACGUAUUGUACAUAAAUUCUAAUUUAAAUCAUAGUAAUGAUUCAAAAUAACUUUUAAGACAACGCUGAAACCCUACCUAUUGUGCCAUGACAGAUCAGUGCAGACAUUUUAGGAACUGUCAGUCAGAGAUGAAAGGGUGAGCGUUUGAACAUGUUACACCAAGAAACAGCGUCCUCCUUUGAUACAGCUCAGCACUUACAAGCUUGCAACAUUUACUGCGGAGUAACUAACCUUGAGUCACAGAGCCUUUAUCAGAUUCUUAAAUCUUUCUUUUUUGUGUUAAAAGCCUUUCUCCAGAACCCCAUGGUGGCUGAACCCCAGAAGCCAGGUGGCUGCCUGCUAUCAGGUGGGUGCAGGCCAGAGUGGUAGAGGGACACAAAGCUGCACAUCCCUGUGCCAUGCAGUGGGCAGUACCCAUUGCCCUGCAGACAUCCCAGGGGGAGCUGCAGCUGUCCUGAGCUCCACAACUUGUUGUGGCACUGCAAUACAGGCACAAAAAUCCUGACAUGCUGUACACAGGUAUCCCUCAAUCAGGCCUCUACUGUUCUACACUCUUAGCAAACACCUUAACCAAUACAUCUGCGGCCUGAAUACCAGUCAAAUAUUUCACACACAUCUAUUUCUCUGUACAGCUUUGGUAUACAGAAGGUAUGUGAUCUGAAAGAAAAGAUUACUUCUAGAAUUAAUUUUUAAGCUGCCACCGACAUCCUGCUAGCUAAUUUUUCCUAAGUUACAAAUAGAAACUGCCCAGUUAACUCAACCAAGAGUCUCCAAUUUGUCCACAGGCUCCUUCUGGCACAGAACCCAUACUUCAGGCAGAUGACAGUGAGACUGUCAUGCACAGUAUGAUGUAAGACUGCUCAGCCAGCAAUUUUUUGAGUGUGUGAUUUUUUGGAGCACACUGUGAAGCAAAUGCAUUGUCAAUGCUUACAAGAAGCUUCAAGAAAUGGAUAUACCAUUAAUAUUUAAAGUCAGUUCAGAAGGACCACAUUUCUUGUCAGGCACAUGACUGUAGCCUCAGUACUGCUUUGAUCCUUUUUAUCCCUUACUUGAACAGCUCAUGAAUGGCAGAUUGACUGGAAACCCAAAAUCACCAGGUACUGAUGCCUCAUUAACGCAUGGUUCCAGAACUCUUCACAAGAAAUUACCCUUGAAAAACAACCUGUUCCCGAUGCUUCAUGAGGCUGCUAACAUCACAUCUGAUAAAAAUAGCUAGCAUUAGUGCAGGUUUUACCUCUUGGCUUUGCAUGGUUAAUAACCAUGACACUCUGUAAGGUAAAUACUUAUUAGCCUCCAUUUUAACAACAAGAAAUGGUGUGGCUCAGUGUCAUCAGUAACUCAGCAGCACAGAGUCCUUUUCAGUUUGGGGAGUUUCUUGUUUAUAUCCCCAGUGCUGUUCUAGCAGGGACUAGAAGAGCUGUCACCAGCCAGAGCAUCCCCUAUUUAUAUAAUGCCAUAAAAACAAUGUUGCUGAGGGGACCAAGUGGGGCACAAUCUGAAGGUCUGGCUUGUUUAGCACAUAUCAAGUAAUGGCUGGGGCUCUGGGUUUGCUUUUUUUACAGGGUACAGCAUGAUCUUUAAAAUCUAUUAUACAACAGCAAAAACCCCAUGCUGCUGCCCUCUUCUCCUUGCAACAGGCCUUCUUAGAAAGCCCCUGCCUCACCCCAUUCCUAGGAAGGAUGGUUUUGUGUGUCAGACAAGUUUCCUGCAGUUGGACAUUAAUAUAACCUGCAGUGAGCUGUUCUAUGUGCAGAAGGUGCUGGGAGAGAAAAUGAGAGAUUUCAUGAGAUCUAAGGAAUAAGAACAGUGUUUAAGUCUAAUUCUCCUUGGUACACUUGCAUAUAACAGUCUCUUGACACUUGUAUCUUCUUUUAAAAUACUAAUAGCCUUCCUCUGGAUAGUUGUUCAUGAUCAGCAAGUAAAAAGCAUUAGGAAAG